CAACCUGCCGCUUACUCGGGGAUAGCCUUUCGAAAGAAAGAUUAAUACCCGAUGGUAUAAAGAGUUCGCAUGUUCUCUUUAUUAAAGAACUUCGGUCAUCGAUGGGGAUGCGUUCCAUUAGAUAGUUGGCGGGGUAACGGCCCACCAAGUCUACGAUGGAUAGGGGUUCUGAGAGGAAGGUCCCCCACAUUGGAACUGAGACACGGUCCAAACUCCUACGGGAGGCAGCAGUGAGGAAUAUUGGUCAAUGGACGCGAGUCUGAACCAGCCAAGUAGCGUGAAGGAUGACUGCCCUAUGGGUUGUAAACUUCUUUUAUAAGGGAAUAAAGUGAGGGACGUGUCCCUUUUUGUAUGUACCUUAUGAAUAAGGAUCGGCUAACUCCGUGCCAGCAGCCGCGGUAAUACGGAGGAUCCAAGCGUUAUCCGGAUUUAUUGGGUUUAAAGGGAGCGUAGGUUGACAUAUAAGUCAGCUGUGAAAGUUUACGGCUCAACCGUGAAAUUGCAGUUGAUACUGUAUGUCUUGAGUGUACAAGAGGUGGGCGGAAUUCGUGGUGUAGCGGUGAAAUGCUUAGAUAUCACGAAGAACUCCGAUUG
rnacentral:rRNA from 1 species